AAGCAUAUGAUAAGGCCCAUUCUCAAGUACAUGCAAACUGGUAUGCAAAGACUAAAAGUGAUCCAAUGAAAUGGUUCAAACCUCUAAAAAUACUUUUAAUAAUUUAUGGAGUUUAAAAUGAUUACGUAACUAUGUACACCUGGUGGUUUUACUUGUUACUGUUUGCUAUUUCUUAAGUAAACAUUUUUUUUAUUCAAAAACUUAACCAAGUUUUUAAAUCUUUAUGUUGGAGUAGAGAUGACAGAAAGACUGUACACACACACACACACACACACACACACACACACACACACACGUACGUACACACAAAGCAAGAAGGGGGGAGGCGAAAAAAAGGCUAACAAAGAAAAGUAGGCAACAAGAGAGAACAUAGACAAAGAAAGGGAAGAAGGCAGAGGAGACAUGACACAGUGGGAGUGAAGAACGCCAGUGGCUGGACUUAGUCUCAGUCAGUGAGCCGCUACUUCUUCCCCUACAGUAAAUGAAUAUUCAGGCAUCAGACUAUGAGCUGUCCUUAGCCUUCGUUGUACAUCUUUUCCCUUGGAUUAAUUCCCUUUUUGAUGGUUUUUGAUGCUAUUGAGAUGCCUUCACUAUAUAAUUUCAGGCAUACAGAAAUGUUCUGUGGUCUUCUUCCAUGCAUGAGCCCUUGUAUUGUUUUGAACUGUUAAUGAAAAUCUUUUUCUUUUAUAGGAAAGAACAUUAUCCAUGGAAAAUUGUUCAGAAAUUCACCCAUGGAUUUAUUUACAAUGGCACUAAGGAGCUCAGAGCCUUGGGCAGGGUUGGUGAGCACUCCAUCACUGAGCUAUCUUCCCAGCUCCAGUGUUAGUUAUAACUCAGCCCUUUCUUUGAGAAGUACACAGUCAUUUGAGAAUGCAGAAUUAGCACCAUGCCUUUGGUGAGCUCUACAUUGAACUGAAUGAGGAACUGCCACAUGUUGCCACGUGUUCCACAUCAUGAACAGUCAACAACACGCCAUAGAAGUAUGGCAUAAUUGUGCACUGGUAGGUUGAGGAAGAGACAGUGAGAAGAUUGGAUGAAAUGAGUGGUGAGUUGUGACACCUCCAGACUUUUUUCUACUCACUCUUUACAUGUUUAUAUUGUUUACAUGUAUGGCAUUUCCUUCUUCUAGUCUGCUGUGGUUUGAAUGGGACUUCCUACUACCACCUAUCUACUACCUUUCAAUUCAGAAAUUGAAGCUUUUCAGCCUGAGAAUAAGAAAUUGGUCUCGAGGAAAGAAUAAUGUCGCAAGAAUUUUGCUGUUAUAAAUGGGGUUGUUUAUAGUUCCCUAUAGGAGCAUGGCCUUUAAGGCAAAGGAUGAGUCCUCACCAGCCACCAAAUGACUUUCAUUUUCAUUUCGUACUUUCAAAACCUUGAACAAUAUGUUUAUUUUAUAGUUUAUAACUAACUCAGUCUGAGACAGGCUUUAGGAAUAGAAACCUGAAACAUAAGCACCGAAUUCAGUAUACUAAACUCUGUAGUAAAUGCCAGAAGAUGUGGGAGUUAACUUUGCAGUUGGGUAACUGGUAAAAGAGUGGAUGAGUUCUGAAGCUGCCAGAGAAGUAUUGCUGGAAUGGGCUGUGAAAGCAAUUUAGUGAGAGCACAGGAGGGUAGGAAAUCUGCUACCUUAAAGAGUACCUGGAAGGUCAUGAAUAGGAUGCUGGUGGUAGAUGUGUGGAGGGUAAAGGUCUUGUUGAUGGCAUUCCAAUGGUAAUGAGUAGCACUCCUUUUUUUAUUGGUUAUUUUAUUUGUUUACAUUUCAAAUGUUAUCCCCUUCCCAGUCUUCCCUCAAUAACCCCCCCAUCCUCUCCUCCCUCCUCUUGCCUCUAUGAGGGUAUUCUGCUGCCCACACAUUCCUGCCUCUGGGGCCUAGCAUUCCCCUGUCCUUGGUUAUCAAGCCUCCAUAGGACCUAGGGGCUCCCCUCCCAGUGAUGCCAGUAGCACUCCUAAAGCUGAAUGAAAGGCAACUCUUGUACAGCAAAGAACUUGUGAGUGAUGAUAUAAGGUACUUGGUCAAAAAGAAUAACUCACAAAGGCUUGUAGGAAUAACAUCCCCUUCCAUAAUUUCUUGUAGUACAAAAUCAAGAAGUAAGAACUUAUUUACAGGAAAAAUUUACAAGCCAAAGGGAGCAGAACUUAAAGAUCUUGAAAAUACUCAAUCUGCUUUGCAUUUCUUAUAACUCAUAAGAUAGCAUACUUGAGAAAGAGCACCCAAGUUAUACGUCAAAAGCCCAUAAGGAUAACAUCUGUGGUGUUCAGGAAGAUGAAAGACGUGACCGAAAAGACCAUUUGGAGAGUUUUUAUUCUGACACUCACUUCCCAGCAUUCUAGGGCUUUAAUGCGAGCAGUGUGAAAUGAGAGGUUCCAGGCUGUUCCCAUGAAUUUGGGACUUGCUGCUAGGUACCUCUCUAAUCUUCUUCCUGUACAUUAGCAAUACAAUCAUCAAAUGUCCUACAUAAUUCUGUUUGACAAGGUGUAUAUAUCAGUGAUUUCUUCUUUGGAGGGCCUAGGUAGUAAACUUUGUGUUUGUCUACAUACUACAACUGCCUAGGAGCACAAAGUAAAAGAGCUUUAGGAGAUUGCUUACUCCAACCUAGAUUUCAUUAAAUGCCCUAUGUAGAUUCAAGCGCUAGGAAAUCAACACUAGAACCUCAAUUGAUAGGCCAUUGAAGAUGAGUUGUUCCUGAGACCACUGAAUCAUAGAGUCAUCAGCUUGGACAUCGUUGCCAAGGUAAAGGUAGGCAGGCACCCAUCACCAAAGUGAUGGACAUUAGGGACCCAUCCACUGCCACAGUGACUCAAGAAGGUGACACAAAGAGUCAGAUAAGAGUAUUCCACAGACUACAUGAAGCUCAAGAAGAAGGACAGCCAAAGUGCUGAUGCUUCACUUUGAAGGAGGAACAAAAAUAUUCAUAGAAGGAAAUACGGAGACAAAGUUUGGAGGAGAGACUGCCCCACCUGGGGAUCAGCCCAUAUACAUACAGCCACCAAACCCAGACAAUAUUGCUGAUGCCAAGAAGAGCACGCUGAUAAGAAACUGAUAUAGCUGUCUCCUGAGAGGCUCUGCCAGAGCAUGACAAAUACAGAAGCUUAUGAUCAUAGCCAACCAUUGAACGAAGAACAGAUCCCUAUUGGAGGAGUUAGAGAACGUAUGGAAGGAGCUGAAGGGGCUUGCAACCCCAUAAGAACAAAAAUACGAACCAACCAGAGCUCCUAGAGACUGAACCACUACCCAAAGACUACAUAUAGAUAGACCCAUGACUCCUGCUGCAUAUGUAGCAGAGGAUGGCUUUGUGGGGUGCCAUUGGGAGGAGAAGCCCUUAUUCCUGCCAAGAGUAGACCCCCCAGUGGAGGGGAAUGUCAGGGCAUGGAGGUGGGAAGAGGUGGGUGGAUGAGUGGGGGAACACCCUCAUAGAAUAAGGUGGAGGGGAAAUAGGAUAGGAGGGUUUUGGACUGGAAA